UACUUGUUUAAUUCUUUGAUAUUUUGAUGUGACUAGUUGACAGCAGCUAAACAAAGGACUCAAAUUUUGAUUAAGACUCAAAACUUUGAACUUCUAUCUACUUUGUUCACUGCGAGAUUUUUACAUCACCAAUUGCAAUAUAAAUAGAACAUAGCAGAACAUUCAAACUAAUUGUAGAUGAAGAUCACUGAUAGCUUUAUUCCAGUGUUAGUGCUUGUACAGUGAAAAUAUAGACCCAGGAGGACCAUGCAUAAAAUCAGACCACCUUUCUGACUACAAGAAGUAUAUGUGAAGCGCUUGACUGUUGCAGUUAGCACACAACUGUUGACAACCACUUACAACCAAAUCAUAUCAAAUAUCAACUAGCUACAAAUUAACAGGGUAUGCUGGUUGGUUCCUGUUGAUGUGUAUUUUGUACACGACCAAACACAGAAUAAAAUAUACCUAAAGGUACCUUAUCCUCUCUUGAGCAAAGUUUCCCGACUGCUGAAGAUCUCGCUGAAGGAUCAGUCGAGGCAACUCCAAGGUUCUUGUAUGUCCUAUUAACCAACUGGAAGACAAACAAAUGGCAAAAGAUGCAGGGUUCAGGAAGUCUACUCUACUACCUAGAAUGCAAGAAGAUGGAUGAACGGCUAGGUUGAGUCCUAUUGGGCUGGGUCUCACCAUCAAGUUGAACAAUUCAACACCAACUCAGUGUGAUCUUCUGGGGGAUGCUUCAAAUAUAUUCAAAUCGGACACCAUCAAAUACUGAUCAUCAUUCAAGUUAAUGCAUGAACAAUAGACGUGUAACGACUUGAGAUUAAGCUCAUUUUAUGCCAGUUGACCACGCAGGGCGCACUUACAAUCAGUAAGAGGCUAGUGGUAUGGAUUAGACGGAUUCCACACAGGUGCAUUCAACAACUUCUUUC